AAAAAAACCGAAACCCUAAAAAAUUAUCCCAAAAUCCAAAUUCGCUUUUAUUGCGUCUCUUUCUCUCUCUUUCUCUCUUUCCUCCAAAUCGGUGGCAGAUGCGAAUCAGAGGUUCGCCAUGAAUUGCGAGACUUGUCAACUCAAGGAGCUCUCUCUGGAGCUGUUGGAGGUUCGAGAUGUGUUGCGCUGCGUUUUGCAUACCAUCCUAUUUCAUAGAGCUUUGGGUCUUGUUCGGCCAAAGGAUGUCGACUGUGACCUCUUUGAGAUCACUUAUGUGCAGUGUGGAGAUGCUGAAUUAGAAAAAAAAAUUGAUGAAAAGGUCGAGCAGUUUGUUUGUUGGGUAGAGAAGCAUCCAAACAAGAAAAGCCAGGUAUGCUUGUCUUUCUAUGAGCUCAAAUACAAGCAACCAACUUGGUUCAGUAGCAAGACUGAACGCCACUACUGGGAGCAAUGGAUUAUUAGUUUUCACGUAACAAAUCCUAAAAUACAUGGAAAAUCUAAAGCAACAACCAUUCCUGGAGAAAAUGCAUUGGAGGAAACGAGUAUGAGACGUGCUAAUUUGGAGUCAUCACUCCGCGAAGUCCUGUUCCAAAUCAUAAUGUUUGCAAAUGAGAAGAAAGACCAUAUACCUUUAAUAACAAACUCGGAAGUCGUAUCAUUUCCGUAUGAGAUUACAAUCCCAAGGUGACACCUCUUUUUCCUCCGACGUGUUGACAGUUCAUCCGACUCCUCUUUCGGUUGGCGCACUGAAGUCAUUAAGAGGGUACUUCAAACUGGGCAUCCUUCCUUGCUCAACUGACCUUGCUAUAUAUGAUUGUACAGAGUGAAGAUGACGGUGUGAGAAACCUAGUUCCGUUUCUUUAGGCUUUUGCACUGUAUAUAAGCCCUUCUUUCUCAUUCCUUGUAUGGAUUGGAUUUGUAUAAUCUCUUGCUAGAUGUGAGAAUGACUACACAACAUGCGUUCUACCGUGACAUGCGUGCUGCAAUGUAUCAGUAAAUAUAAUCCAAUUCUGAUGGGAAUGAAAAAAAAAAGAAAGAAAAAAGUGUGGGGUUUUCUCGUGUA